UACAGAGGUCUCAAGCGUUGUUCGGAUUCAUUGGGCGUAAAGGGUGCGUAGGUGGCGUCGUAAGUCGGGUGUGAAAUUUCGGAGCUUAACUCCGAAACUGCAUUCGAUACUGCGGUGCUUGAGGACUGGAGAGGAGACUGGAAUUUACGGUGUAGCAGUGAAAUGCGUAGAGAUCGUAAGGAAGACCAGUGGCGAAGGCGGGUCUCUGGACAGUUCCUGACACUGAGACACGAAGGCCAGGGGAGCAAACAGG
rnacentral:rRNA from 1 species